AGGCUUAGCAGGGGCAGGCACAGGAUUCAGUUGUUCUCAUAAUCCUUUGGUCGAGUGUUCAAGUCACUCACGCCCUACCA
rnacentral:tRNA from 1 species